AUUUAUAUAGUUUAAAUUCAAAACACUACAUUUUCACUGUAGAAAUAAAUAAAUUUUUAUAAAUA
rnacentral:tRNA from 1 species